rnacentral:rRNA from 1 species
AGUGGCGGACGAGUGAGUAACGCGUGAGAAUCUGCCUUGGGGUCGGGGACAACCACUGGAAACGGUGGCUAAUACCGGAUAAGCCGAUUGGUGAAAGAUUUAUUGCCCGAAGAGGAGCUCGCGUCUGAUUAGCUAGUUGGUGAGGUAAGAGCUCACCAAGGCAGCGAUCAGUAGCUGGUCUGAGAGGACGAUCAGCCACACUGGGACUGAGACACGGCCCAGACUCCUACGGGAGGCAGCAGUGGGGAAUUUUCCGCAAUGGGCGAAAGCCUGACGGAGCAAGACCGCGUGAGGGAGGAAGGCUCUUGGGUUGUAAACCUCUUUUCUCAGGGAAGAAGCUCUGACGGUACCUGAGGAAUCAGCCUCGGCUAACUCCGUGCCAGCAGCCGCGGUAAUACGGAGGAGGCAAGCGUUAUCCGGAAUUAUUGGGCGUAAAGCGUCCGCAGGUGGCGAUUCAAGUCUGCUGUCAAAGCACGGGGCUUAACUCCGUAAAGGCAGUGGAAACUGAAUAGCUAGAGUGCCGUAGGGGUAGAGGGAAUUCCCGGUGUAGCGGUGAAAUGCGUAGAGAUCGGGAAGAACAUCGGUGGCGAAAGCGCUCUACUGGACGGCAACUGACACUCAGGGACGAAAGCUAGGGGAGCGAAUGGGAUUAGAUACCCC